rnacentral:rRNA from 1 species
UACGAAGGGGGCUAGCGUUGCUCGGAAUCACUGGGCGUAAAGCGCACGUAGGCGGAUUGCUAAGUCAGGGGUGAAAUCCUGGAGCUCAACUCCAGAACUGCCUUUGAUACUGGCGAUCUUGAGUCCGGGAGAGGUGAGUGGAACUGCGAGUGUAGAGGCGAAAUUCGUAGAUAUUCGCAAGAACACCAGUGGCGAAGGCGGCUCACUGGCCCGGUACUGACGCUGAGGUGCGAAAGCGUGGGGAGCAAACAGG